UACGUAGGGUGCGAGCGUUAAUCGGAAUUACUGGGCGUAAAGCGUGCGCAGGCGGUUUUGUAAGCCAGAUGUGAAAUCCCCGGGCUCAACCUGGGAAUGGCGUUUGGGACUGGAAGUCUGGAGUGCGGCAGAGGAGACUGGAAUUCCUGGUGUAGCAGUGAAAUGCGUAGAUAUCAGGAGGAACACCGAUGGCGAAGGCAGAUCUCUGGGCCGUAACUGACGCUGAGGAGCGAAAGCGUGGGGAGCGAACAGG
rnacentral:rRNA from 1 species